rnacentral:rRNA from 1 species
AGCGAACGCUGGCGGCAGGCCUAACACAUGCAAGUCGAACGAACUCUUCGGAGUUAGUGGCGGACGGGUGAGUAACACGUGGGAACGUGCCUUUUGGUUCGGAAUAACUCAGGGAAACUUGUGCUAAUACCGAAUGUGCCCUUCGGGGGAAUGAUUUAUCGCCAUUAGAGCGGCCCGCGUCUGAUUAGCUAGUUGGUGAGGUAACGGCUCACCAAGGCGACGAUCAGUAGCUGGUCUGAGAGGAUGACCAGCCACACUGGGACUGAGACACGGCCCAGACUCCUACGGGAGGCAGCAGUGGGGAAUCUUGCGCAAUGGGCGAAAGCCUGACGCAGCCAUGCCGCGUGAAUGAUGAAGGUCUUAGGAUUGUAAAAUUCUUUCACCGGGGACGAUAAUGACGGUACCCGGAGAAGAAGCCCCGGCUAACUUCGUG